ACACACACUUACACACACACACACCUACACACACACACACACACACACUUACACACACACACACACACACACACACACACACACACACACACACACACACACACACACACACACACACACACGUGAUCACUCGCUCGUGAGGCUGGCUGGGACCCGGGACCUGGACCCUUCUCACUCCUGGCUGCCCGUGCUGUGUGGAUGGUCAGAUCAGCGUCUCAUCAGCCUCUCAGGACAAGGAGGACUCAUCUCGUCUGUCUGUGUGCAUCUAUCUUACCUCCACACACGACUCCUUCUCUCUCUUUCUCUCUCUAUCUCUCUCUCUUUCUCUCCUUCUCUCUUUCUCUCAUGUAGGGGUGUGCCUCGGUCUUACCUCCACACAUGACUCUCUCUCUCUCUCUCUCUCUCUCUCUCUCUCUCUCUCUCUCUCUGUCAUGCUGUGUGUAUCUGUCUACAGUAAGUGUAUGUGUCAGUACAUGAGCAUGUGUGUGUCAGAGUGUCUCGUAAAAGUGAGCUCAGCCUGUCAGUCUUAGUGCAUUUUUUCUCAGAGGUUACCAAGGUGAUGUGUGUGUGUGUGUGUGUGUGUGUGUGUGUGUGUGUGUGUGUGUGUGUGUGUGUGUGUGUGCGUGUCUUGGUACUUGUUUGUGGGUAGCAUACAGCCCACUGACGUCUAACAGAGAAUAUUCUUUAUCCUAAGGCUGUGUGCUGCUCAGCAUAUCAAAUCCCAUUAUUAUAGUAUUCUUUUCAUUAAAAAUAUUUUAAAUUGUAUUCAUUUUUAAUAUUGAUAUAAAUAUGUAUUUGAUUAUAAAAUCAAUUUAAUAUUAUCAUAAAUAGACUAAUAUGCAUAAAAUAGCAGCAUAACCACUAACCAACCAACACAACCACUGCUUUUUGGUAGGCUAAUAUCUUUGCAUCUGUUUUUUUUUAUAUUAUUAUUAUUAUUUUGCCAUUUCCAUUUUCUGUUUCUUAAUUUGCUUUUGCAUUCAAAGAUAUAAAUACAGGAAGUGCUUUCAGUUUGGAGACAUGUACGAGACGUGGGCAGCAGUACUACGUAGGCAGGCCGAGGCCAGGCUAGGGCAGCAGUACUCCUCCAGCUGAUUUGGACUACACGUACUGUAUCUGGUAACAAGAAUUCUGUUGAAGUAGUAAUACAAUGGAUAAGUAGUUGAGACAGCCUGCUGACGCCCCACCAGGCACCAGUGGUGUAUAAGUCCCAUGCAGAGAGUGCAGAGAGUGCUGUAUGAGCGUUGUGUACGUGUCUUAUCCCCCCGGCGUACUGCAUGUGAUGCCUACAGUACAUGUUGCCUGGUGUUUGUAUUCGAAAAGCUAUCAUAUCCAGGAAAACAAAAAGACCAAAGUUCCAGAGUGCGAUAGGCAAGACUAGCCCCCCCCCCCCCUUAAAAAUACAAACAAACAAACAAACAUAAAUUGGAUCAGUAUUUUUUGUAGGGAUGUGUCCUCCCUCUUUGACAAAUGGCAUUCCGCUCAUGAUCUGCUCUCUGAUUUAGGAGCACAGUACACUGUAGUGAUAAUAUAGGCCUGCUCACAGCAGUGAGUAUUUGAUGUGUACUUUUGCGUUUACUCUCUAUGUAAAACUUGUGAAACUGUCUUUUUCUUGUCUCUUCUGUAUUUCCAUGUAAGAAAAAGAGAAAAGAAUAGCCUUACUAUUUUUAAACAGGAACAUGGCCACAAAACGGAUUUAAUAUAUGUAGCCAAUUUAGAAAAAAAAUUGUAAAUGAUUUCAUUUGUCACACUGUAUCUCUCAGACCCUGUUUACCUGAGGCUAAAUCGGGUAGUGCUAAUUCAGUUUCUGCUUGCUACAUACAACUCAUCGAAAUACAGGCGUCUUUUAAAGCUGAGAGCUGAAACCAUCUGACAUGCACUUUAUCAUAUAUAAUUGCAUUUGCCUUGUUUGGCCAUACAUGUGAAAAUGGUUUUGUCCAUGAGUCGGUUUGUGGCAGAUUCACACCCAUUCGAUAAGGAAGUCUGUGAAAUGUGAUUUAGGAUAAAAAAAAAAAUGCUCUUAGCUUUACAUCCACCUGCUGUAAAUGCAUUACGUCUGGUCCGUACAAGUACAUUCAUCCACAUGUGAACUCCAUAGGUUUACAAAGCUACAUCCUCAUGUAAACUCCAUAGGUUUACAAAGCUACAUCCACAUGUGAACUCCAUAGGUUUACAAAGCUACAUCCUCAUGUAAACGCCAUGGUUUGUAAACCCAAGCUAAUAGUGUCUAUUUAACAUGAUUACUGUGCAUCAUGUAAACAGGGCCUGCUGUGCUGUGUUCAAGGUGAGAGUGAUGAUCUCGGUCAGUUUUGAAAUGUCUUUAAUCUUUAAAGUGGUGAUGUACGUGCGUUAUGAAGUGUACAGAGUGUAGCUCUUCUCUGUCCAGAUGUUUGGAGUGUUCUUGACCGUCUUCGUGAAGCGCAGUCAAACGGGCGGCGAGGGCCGGUAGGCUUCCUCCACUUGUCUUCAUGUGGCCUUUUAAAAUGAGGAUUGUGACCGUUCUCAUCCCAGCCUUGGGAAAUCUUUGUCAUUUUUGACGUUAUCUCUUACCUGUCUGGUAACUUUACUUUGAAAAGAUAUUAAAUCCAUAUAUGAUGACAACA